UACGUAGGUGGCAAGCGUUGUCCGGAAUUAUUGGGCGUAAAGCGCGCGCAGGUGGUUUCUUAAGUCUGAUGUGAAAGCCCACGGCUCAACCGUGGAGGGUCAUUGGAAACUGGGGAACUUGAGUGCAGAAGAGGAAAGUGGAAUUCCAAGUGUAGCGGUGAAAUGCGUAGAGAUUUGGAGGAACACCAAUUGCGAAGGCAGCUUACUUCACGAUCAUUGACACUGAGGCACGAAAGCGUGGGGAGCAAACAGG
rnacentral:rRNA from 1 species